CGCUUCGACGGAAGAGCUGGAGUAUGGCUGAAUAAUCUGAUAGUUGUAUGGGCAGAUAAAGCACUAGAGGGCGUAACGGCUGGGUGUAACCCAACUCUAGGUGUGCUGAUUAGCGGGCUUGACUCCGUAACAAAUAGGCACUGGUGGUAAAAAGCAUCCCACCUACUCACCUU
rnacentral:ncRNA from 1 species